rnacentral:tRNA from 1 species
GCCUGGAUGGCUCAGUCGGUUGAGCGUCCGACUUCGGCUCAGGUCAUGAUCUCGCGGUUUGUGAGUUCGAGCCCCGCGUCAGGCU